rnacentral:rRNA from 1 species
UACAGAGGUCUCAAGCGUUUGUUCGGAUUCAUUGGGCGUAAAGGGCGCGUAGGCGGCGGGGUAAGUCUGGUGUGAAAUCUAGGAGCUCAACUCCUAAACUGCACUGGAUACUGCUCUGCUAGAGGACUGGAGAGGAGACUGGAAUUCACGGUGUAGCAGUGAAAUGCGUAGAUAUCGUGAGGAAGACCAGUGGCGAAGGCGGGUCUCUGGACAGUUCCUGACGCUGAGGCGCGAAGGCCGGGGAGCAAAAGCGGGGAUUAGAAACCCC